CCUACGGGUGGCAGCAGUGGGGAAUAUUGCACAAUGGGCGAAAGCCUGAUGCAGCAACGCCGCGUGAGUGAUGAAGGCCUUCGGGUUGUAAAGCUCUGUCUUUUGGGACGAUAAUGACGGUACCAAAGGAGGAAGCCACGGCUAACUACGUGCCAGCAGCCGCGGUAAUACGUAGGUGGCAAGCGUUGUCCGGAUUUACUGGGCGUAAAGGAUGCGUAGGCGGAUUUUUAAGUCAGAUGUGAAAACCCCGGGCUCAACUUGGGGACUGCAUUUGAAACUGGAAGUCUAGAGUGCGGGAGAGGAAAGUGGAAUUCCGAGUGUAGCGGUGAAAUGCGUAGAGAUUAGGAAGAACACCAGUGGCGAAGGCGACUUUCUGGACCGUAACUGACGCUGAGGCAUGAAAGCGUGGGUAGCAAACAGGAUUAGAUACCCCGGUAGUC
rnacentral:rRNA from 1 species